rnacentral:rRNA from 1 species
GAAUCUUCCGCAAUGGACGAAAGUCUGACGGAGCAACGCCGCGUGAGUGAUGAAGGGUUUCGGCUCGUAAAGCUCUGUUAUGAGGGAAGAACACGUACCGUUCGAAUAGGGCGGUACCUUGACGGUACCUCAUCAGAAAGCCACGGCUAACUACGUGCCAGCAGCCGCGGUAAUACGUAGGUGGCAAGCGUUGUCCGGAAUUAUUGGGCGUAAAGCGCGCGCAGGCGGCCUUUUAAGUCUGAUGUGAAAUCUUGCGGCUCAACCGCAAGCGGCCAUUGGAAACUGGGAGGCUUGAGUACAGAAGAGGAGAGUGGAAUUCCACGUGUAGCGGUGAAAUGCGUAGAUAUGUGGAGGAACACCAGUGGCGAAGGCGACUCUCUGGUCUGUAACUGACGCUGAGGCGCGAAAGCGUGGGGAGCAAACAGG